UGGGGAAUUUUGCACAAUGGGGGAAACCCUGAUGCAGCGACGCCGCGUGAUUUAGAAGGCCUUCGGGUUGUAAAAAUCUUUUCUAUGGGAAGAAAAUGACAGUACCAUAGGAAUAAGGACCGGCUAAUUACGUGCCAGCAGCCGCGGUAAUACGUAAGGUCCGAGCGUUGUCCGGAAUCAUUGGGCGUAAAGGGUACGUAGGCGGGUAAGCAAGUUAGAAGUGAAAUACUAUAGCUCAACUAUAGUAAGCUUUUAAAACUGCUCAUCUUGAGGUAUGGAAGGGAAAGUGGAAUUCCUAGUGUAGCGGUGAAAUGCGCAGAUAUUAGGGGGAAUACCGGUGGCGAAGGCGACUUUCUGGCCAUAACCUGACGCUGAGGUACGAAAGCGUGGGUAGCAAACAGG
rnacentral:rRNA from 1 species